UACGGGGGGAGCAAGCGUUGUUCGGAUUUACUGGGCGUAAAGGGCGCGUAGGCGGGCAAGCAAGUCCGGGGUGAAAUCUUUCGGCUCAACCGGAAAAGUGCCUUGGAUACUGCUUGUCUCGAGGGAGGUAGGGGUUGCUGGAACUUCCGGUGGAGCGGUGAAAUGCGUUGAUAUCGGAAGGAACGCCGGUGGCGAAAGCGAGCAACUGGAUCUCUUCUGACGCUGAGGCGCGAAAGCUAGGGGAGCAAACGGGG
rnacentral:rRNA from 1 species